UCUAAAAAUGGCUGGGUUAUUUUUUAACCCAAAAUGCUGGGUUGAGUCUGUUGGGUUGUUUUGCUGGGUUAUUUUUUUACAUUUUAAACACUUUUUGGGUAGUUUCAGUUUUCUAGGUGUUGGGUUAAAACUGCUGGGUUAUUAUGUUGGGUUGUUUGAAGAGGCUCACGUGCUUCGCGCCCUUGAUGUUUGAAUGUGCUCAGCAAUGGUCGUCGUGAAAGGACAGAGUCACUGAAGCAGUUGUUUCAAGAGUGUGCAGAGUUUUUAUGUCCAUCCAUUGAUGAGGCUAGCAAGAACUUCAUACAACUUCAGCCAAUUGCAACAAAUGUGGUGGAAUUUCUUCUCUGGACAGAAUCCUCGAAACCCUUUCCUUUCGUCCUGGCCAUGGGAAACAUGCAGCAGAUCUCUCAAUCUUUUUUCUCAAUCAGUCUCUCUGAAUACGGAAGUGACUUAAACUGCAAUUCGGCCAAGAUGGCGACGGCACGCACCGCCUACUUUAAGCUUCAAAAAUGCUCUUCACAAACCAAUGGGUGACGUCACAGACACUACUUGCAUAUUUUUUACAGUCUCUGGUUUAAAGGCAUUUUAAGUGCUUAAAAAAAUAAAUACCCCAGGCAAUGUGCUUCUAUGGGAAUUCCUGUAGUCUGUCAUUUUUCAAAUGGAUGAAUCCCCUGCUGUUCGAUUCCUUUGUACAUCUUUGUUCGCGACGAGUAACUUUAAUAAAUGAAGUAUUUUUAGUCAAAUACAUUCCAUUCUGUGAAACUUAAAACAUUUGUUCUUUAAAAAAACUUUACA